rnacentral:misc_RNA from 1 species
AACGCAACUUGCGCCGAGCAAUCGGCAUGUCUGUCUGAGUGUGUAACUAUCUAUACGGUUUUCGUGAAGUGGUGCGAGUGUUGGUGUGAGAGGAAAUGACUUGUCAGAUCCUAUUCUAACCAGUACUGCACUGAAUGAUAGCAAGAUGAUGCGAAAAGUGUCUAGUUCAGGUGCCAAGCAUCCCAGAACAAAAACACUCACGCUCCAACUUAUCUCAUUUCACACCUCAGAUCAGUCAAGAUCACCCGCUGAACUUAA